UCUUGAGUUGGGCAGCAAGAGCAUUAAGCGACCUCUUCUCCGGACAGUCGCGUACCCAAUGAGGUCCGUUGCAUAUGAAGCAUGGGCUUCGCGGCUUUGGCGCCUCCUUCUUGCCCUCCGAUUUUCCUUGCCAACUCUUGUUGCUAGGCGGCUUUUUCUGCCCCCAAUCUUUGCGGUUGUUGCCCUUGUCCUUGCGACUCUCUCCCCCACCUUUGCCUUGGUUGGCCUUUUUGUCCUUGGAUUGGGUAGAGUAUUCAGUGAGCGACUCCGCAAC
rnacentral:lncRNA from 1 species